rnacentral:rRNA from 1 species
UAGGGAAUCUUCCGCAAUGGACGCAAGUCUGACGGAGCAACGCCGCGUGAGUGAAGAAGGAUUUCGGUUCGUAAAACUCUGUUGUUAGAGAAGAACAGCGCAUAGAGUAACUGUUAUGCGUGUGACGGUAUCUAACCAGAAAGCCACGGCUAACUACGUGCCAGCAGCCGCGGUAAUACGUAGGUGGCAAGCGUUGUCCGGAUUUAUUGGGCGUAAAGCGAGCGCAGGCGGUCAAUUAAGUCUGGUGUGAAAGCCCCCGGCUCAACCGGGGAGGGUCAUUGGAAACUGGUUGGCUUGAGUGCAGAAGAGGAGAGUGGAAUUCCAUGUGUAGCGGUGAAAUGCGUAGAUAUAUGGAGGAACACCAGUGGCGAAGGCGACUCUCUGGUCUGUAACUGACGCUGAGGCUAGAAAGCGUGGGUAGCAAACAGG